AAUAAAACCACUUUAAGAAAUCAAAUAGAGUCUUGACCUCAGAGAAAAUUACACGAACACUCAUUAAAAGGUGUAAAAAUGAUUAUCGUUUACCUCUAUGGAGCUUAGACGAUAGUGAUUGUCCUUGUAAAGGGACAAAACAUAUCGAGGAAGCAGAUCAUUGUCCUUUCUCCCACUAACAGAAGAAAAAAAAAAGAAUAGGA
rnacentral:misc_RNA from 1 species